UCCGAGGCAUUCUCCUGCCGCGGAGACCAGGCAGAGCGCCAAGAGGUCAUCUGUAUGUCUGCCAGGAGGAGCCUGUUUUGUGUGGAGAGAAGGGUAGUGGUCUGCUCCAACCCGGCACAAAGCAAAAACGGAUUAAACCAUCCAUCUCCGUCACAAAGCCCUAACGCUGCCUCCCUGAGCGGUAGGGACUAAAGUACCACCCACAGUGGAGAGAAAGGGGGUUGCCCCGAGGACACCAACAAGUGACAAAGUGCCAGCACCAAGCAAAACCAGAGUGGGGAGGGCAGCUCCUUUCCAGCUUGUCCUCUGCCAGCCCGGGGGGCACCACCGCAAACAGCGAGUGGGGGUUGGGCAGGGAGGGGCGACUCCCGCUGUCCAGGCCCCUCAGAGCUGUCUUGCUCAGAAGUGGGGUGCUCAGUGGAGACAACUCCACUCCACCUUCGGUGUGCGAGGGACACGGGCCACUUCACCCGGGACAGCCAAGCUGGGGGCCCCGGGAAAGUUCUACAAAUGGAAGCGUGACGAAUAACCCUCUGGUUCCCAGGAGAUUCAUCCAGGAUGUGCUGGCAACAGUUUGUUCCUUUUUAUUGCUAGUAUCCAACUGUGCUGGAGCCAUUUGUGAUGAAGACCGUCCUGCCACUACUAAAGAGACUCAGCGUUUAAGGUGGCACCCACUCCGAAGUUCAUUCUGCAUUUCUCCUUAAACUUGGCUUCUGGCCUCCACCUUAACCCCUUCCUGGGCAGAGUGACACGUUAGAGGAUCACUCUCUUCCCUAAGGUCACUGUCCUCUCUAAAUGCUCUGUCAGGAAUGUUCACAGGCAUGUCAAAUGAACCUUGGAGGUCACUUCUA